rnacentral:rRNA from 1 species
AGUGGCGGACGGGUGAGUAACGCGUGGGUAACCUGCCUCAUACAGGGGGAUAACAGUUAGAAAUGACUGCUAAUACCGCAUAAGACUACAGCACCGCAUGGUGCAGGGGUAAAAACUCCGGUGGUAUGAGAUGGACCCGCGUCUGAUUAGGUAGUUGGUGGGGUAACGGCCUACCAAGCCGACGAUCAGUAGCCGACCUGAGAGGGUGACCGGCCACAUUGGGACUGAGACACGGCCCAA